GGAGCAAGAAAAAAGGGACCGCGUAUAACACUGGUGCUGGUGUGAACAACAGCACAUACUGCAAUUCUAUUAUUACACAACAAAGGGAAGCCCCGCCAAAGCAGGGCAUCAAAAAAUUAGUUGAAACUCAUAAAUGUUCCUCUCCACGGAAAUCUUUAGUAAAAGGCGAAAGAUUUAUGCGAUCUGAAGAGAAACCAGAGUAUGCUAACAUCACCGUUCAGUAGGCAACCUACUCAUAUUGUUAUUGUAACAAGGGACGGGUAGUUGUUUUAAACGAGCAUUUUAAAGUCUAAGUCUUGAGAAAAACAGCCAAAACAGCAUACAAGUACUGUAUGUUGACAUUUAGAUUUAAAUAUGAUAUUUUAAAAGCAUGCAUUUCAUAAGAGGAAAUUAGAUUCUACCAAAGUGCAUUAUGGGUAUGCAAAUAUGAUCCAACCCUGCAGCGCGGUUUCCACCCAACAGUAUUGCUCAACCCCAAGGUAUUCGUUUUCCGUUUAUAUUUUUUUGUCCCUCUCUAUUUUUAGCCGAAGUUUCAAGGAUUUCCGCCCCGUACAGAGGAUCGCCUUCAAAAAGAAGACGAGCGUUCCCACUCCAGCGCCGUGUUGGUGUCACUUACACUCCCAACUUCUGCUGUCUGAAAGGAAACCCGACUCCACGGAGCCGACUAGACUCAGCAGAAAGACGAACUGAAUGUAGAACCACCUUUCAAGGUUGUGACAGCAGUUGUGAAGGAUUCAGAAGACAGUUAUUCGAAUCUUAUCCCAAACUGAGUGAGGGUGGUGGAUUUUAACUAAUAAAGAUUUCAGGAUCUACGAGAAGACAGAUCUAGGCUGUUAUUGUUGCCCUAAUGAGGGGUACUCAGCAAAAUAUUUAAGGGACCCAGAAACCCAAAUGGUCUCUGCCAUUAUCUAUGUAAGGCCGCUACAAAGAGGUCUUAAUAUGGAUCAGGUUCCUGGGCUGUCCUUAUCCACUGGGCCCCUGAUGAAGUGCCUCUUUUGUGAGAAAGACUUUUCCUUCUCAGAAAUAAAGUCACAGUGACGGCUGUAGCAGCAGAAUGGAAAAUCAUGGCAAAUUUGUUCAGGGAGGCUGUAUUGAAGCAGCAUGAAACUGGUAAACCACUCCAUCUAAGAAUGGAUUUGCGAGACAGCAUGGAGAAUAGAGAGAGGGACAUUUUGUCAUUUUAUAAAAUGUCCAUAAUAGAAUGGGCCUGUCCUUUAAAAUGCACACUUGAAGGUAUUUGAAUGGAAUUUUACUCACUCUCUUUAUUUUUAAGGUUUUAAUCAUGGUUUCAUAUUUUAAUGUUCUGAGUUUUCCAUAGGCGAUGCAGCUGAGGGUGAAGGAGUGAACAGGUUCUUUUUCUCCACAAUUAUAUCAAAGCUUCAGUUUGGUUUUCAUCGUAACUUGCUUUCUAUAAAACAGGGUUUUUAAAUGAGGUUAUUUAGAAAUGUCAGUUUAUAUUAAUUUGCUCAAGAAUAUUACAGAUCACAAUGUAUUUGUAAUAUUUGUCACAUGCUUGUGGAAAAAAUCUAUAUACUUUAUCGGUCAUAUUUUUACUUUUUAUACAUCACCAAUCUAACAGAAUAAGGAUAGACUGUAUAGUGGAGGCAUCCCAUGCGCAAUGGUUUUAGUUAAUUAACUGGCCAAGGACAUCACUGUUCAGGUUAUUUAUUCUAAGAGUACUACAGAAAUCAUUGUUUGUUUCCAUUAUUGUUUAGUCUUGCAUCUACACACUGUGCUUUAAUGUUUACAAUUGUGGAAAUAACGCCUAGACAGUAUGAACUCAGUUAGCAGUGCUGUGAGUUCAAUUUUUUGCAGAAUAUAAAAUGUGAUUUGAUCCUUAUUUAUGUUUGAUUUCCUCCCUCCUCAGGAAUCACUGACAGAACUUUUAAUGUUUGAAGGAGAACCUGACCAUUUAAUUCCCUCCACAUCUGAGUUCCUUCUCGAGAGUGACAUGUUUCACGUUGCUGGGCGAAUGAUUGGACAUUCUUUCCUGCACGGUGGUCCAAGCUUAGCUGGAUUGAGUCCCGCAAUUAUCCAUGUGUUGCUUGGAGGUGCACCAGAAACAGCCAAUCUGGAGAUUCACGACUGUCCUGAUAUUGAUGUUCGUGAAACUGUCAGAUUAAAUUGUCCCAAAUUCAAGGUUGUAGGCUGGAGACUGAAAUGUACUGAAGUGUAAAUCACUGAUGUAGAGUGGGAUGAUCUCCGUUCCAUGUGAACAACUAAGAAUGGAACGGCAAGAAAAUCGGCAUUGGCUAAUGGACAAACUCCUCCUUCACGCUGUUAUUGUAAGACCAACUCGACAGGUUAAACAGCUGAGGAAAAGACUGAAAGAGACAUUGGUCUGGCCUCUCCUGAAGGAAAGAAGUGAUAUUAUUCCACUGAUGUUUCCAAGGGCCUCUGACACACUAUACACCUCCCAGAUGAUCACCUGGCCCACACUGAAUGUGGCGGAAGAUGAUGAUGAUGACUGUUCUCUUGAGACUAAAUGCCGUAUCACAGGCUUCUUCAGGACAUUCAUUGAAACAGUAUAAUUGAAUCUAUUAAUCAUCGCCAUGUAUAAUUUUAUUUUAACCACCCAACUCAUUCUUACCUUAUACGAGAAGGGACAACUUCUUAUUCUUCAUCACUCAAAACAGCAUUUGCCACCACUUCAUAUGUAAUAUUCCUAUACAAAGAAUACAUAAGCUAAUGUUCACACUGAAAGGGAAUGUAAUGAAUAAGAAUAAUCUUGUAGACGAAUAACAUUUUGAUGUCACUACUGUGCUAGUAUGAUUUUAUUUUUACGACUCAAAGCACAAAUACAGCCUUCAUGUCUUUUAUAUGCAAGUAUUAUAUGUACAUAGGUAGAUCAUACGUAGCACAUUAUAAUCAACAAAAGUAAAAAUAUUUGUUACUUUUCAAAAAGCUGACUUGACAGUACUCAAGACCCUGUGAAAUUUGAAAAGAGGCAUUUAUUUAUUUUUCACUUUUGUAGCAUCACCAAGAGCGCUGAUUGAUCUCCUCAGAUUCUGGGUUGGAUGGGAGGUCCUCCCGAAGGAGCUGUCUGUUGAGGUCACAGAUACCAAACUGCCCAAAGCAUCCACCUGCUUCGAAAUCAUUAAACUACCCAGACACGACUUUCACUACUCAUCAUUUGAGGAGGAUCUUCUUUCCUGUAUACAUACUGUAGACACCGGCUUUGGACUUGUCUAAUUUAGAAUUCCGCCAUGAGAAAUCUGUUUGAACUCCUUCAGGGGCCAAUUAAAAUAUACAACAUAAUUGAUUUGACAACUAGAAAUAUAAACAUGACAAAGUAAAAAAAAAACAUCCAGGUUAAUGUUCUGCUAUAUUAUUAUUAUUAUUAUUAUUAUUAUUAUUAUUAUUAUUAUUAUUAUUAUUAUUAUUAUUUAUUUAUUUAUUUAUUUAUUAACAGAUGCCCUUAUCCAGGGCGGCUUACAGUCGUAAACAAAAAUACAUUUCAAGAAUCACAGUACAAGUAAUAAUACAUUUAUAUAAAUACUAAAUGUACUAAGAAAGAAAUUCAAAUUAAUGACUGGCAAUUUUAUUAGGCCAUUUUAUUAUUUUGAUUACAAUAAAUAAUGCACUGAUUCUCAAAACUUUUUUUGGGGGGUGGGGGGGAGGAGAAGACAACGCUUUUUUUUUCUUCUAAAAUACUUCCUUAAGUUUGUGAAAACAUCUGUUAAAUAUCAACAUAAGCACAGAUACUAUUGUCAUUUAUUUAUUUAAGAAAGUCAGACUCAAUGACAAAAAAUACAGCUGUCCCAAACAAUAAAAAAAUCAUCAAAUUUG